rnacentral:tRNA from 1 species
GGGCUCUUAGCUCAGUUGGUAGAGCGCCUCAAUGGCAUUGAGGAGGUCACCAGUUCAAACCUGGUAGGGUCCACCA